rnacentral:rRNA from 1 species
CCUACGGGAGGCAGCAGUGGGGAAUAUUGGGCAAUGGGCGCAAGCCUGACCCAGCAACGCCGCGUGAAGGAAGAAGGCUUUCGGGUUGUAAACUUCUUGUGUCAGGGAAGAGUAGAAGACGGUAACUGACGAAUAAGCCACGGCUAACUACGUGCCAGCAGCCGCGGUAAGACGUAGGUGGCAAGCGUUGUCCGGAUGUAAUGGGUGUAAAGGGCGUGUAGCCGGGUUGACAAGUCAGAUGUGAAAUCCUGCGGCUUAACCGCAGAACUGCAUUUGAAACUGUUGAUCUUGAGUACUGGAGAGUCAGACGGAAUUCCUAGUGUAGCGGUGAUAUGCGUAGAUAUUAGGAGGAACCCCAGUGGCGAAGGCGGUCUGCUGGACAGCAACUGACGGUGAGGCGCGAAAGCGUGGGGAGCAAACAGGAUUAGAUACCCGGGUAGUC